CCGGUGGCAUGUCUUUUGUCUCGGUUGUGCUAACAAUUUCCACCAGAUCUGCAUGAUCUUCAUCUACGAACUCUAUACCAUCUUCUGAUUCUUCUCUCAGUCGUUUCAAUUCCUUCUUCAUUUUUUCCUUCUGAUUAUCCACCUUCACUUCCAAGCCCUUUCUGGACAAUUUGAUUUGAUUGCAUUUGAUAUGCGGUGGUUUCU